rnacentral:rRNA from 1 species
GUAGGGGGCAAGCGUUGUCCGGAUUUAUUGGGCGUAAAGCGCUCGCAGGCGGCCUGGCCAAGUCGUGCGUGAAAUCUCCCGGCUCAACUGGGAGCGGUCGUGCGAUACUGGUCGGCUCGAGGCCGGUAGGGGGGAGUGGAAUUCCGGGUGUAGUGGUGGAAUGCGUAGAUAUCCGGAGGAACACCAGUGGCGAAGGCGGCUCCCUGGACCGGUCCUGACGCUCAGGAGCGAAAGCGUGGGUAGCGAUCCGGAUUAGAUACCCGGGUAGUCCACGCCGUAAACGAUGAGCACUAGGUGUCGGGGGUAUCGACCCCCCCGGUGCCGCAGCUAACGCAAUAAGUGCUCCGCCUGGGGACUACGGCCGCAAGGCUAAA